UACGGGGGGGGGCAAGCGUUGUUCGGAAUUACUGGGCGUAAAGCGUGCGCGGGCGGUUGUGCAAGACCGAUGUGAAAUCCCCGGGCUCAACCUGGGAAUGGCAUUGGUGACUGCACGGCUAGAGUGUGUCAGAGGGGGGGUAGAAUUCCACGUGUAGCAGUGAAAUGCGUAGAGAUGUGGAGGAAUACCGAUGGCGAAGGCAGCCCCCCUGGGAUAACACUGACGCUCAUGCACUAAAGCGUGGGGAGCAAACAGG
rnacentral:rRNA from 1 species